CAGGAGACCAGCAGUGUGCUGUGCCUGGAGGUGGCCAACGCACUGGCUGCCGCCGACACGCCCUGGAACCCCGUGCGGGACGUGUGGUGGCACGCAGCCGUCCCCAUGCAGGUGAGGGAGAGGGAGGCAGGGGCAGGGGGCGCGGCAAGGGGCGGUGGGCAGGGGGCGGGGGCGCGGCUGUUGGGCGAGGGCUGGAGUGUGAGCCGGACAGGAGGUGCUGGGGGAUCAGGGGCCGAUGUACAUGCUUUGCUUGUUUCGUAUGCUCACACCCCCGCCCCAACCCCUCGCCCGCAGUCUGCGGAGUGCGAGCCCACCUGGCUGGACUCCGAGGACCGCUCCUUCCUGCUGUACACCAGCGGCAGCACCGGCAAGCCCAAGGGCGUGGUGCACUGCGUGGGCGGCUACAUGGUGGGCGUGGGCGUCAGCUGCCGCUACCUGUACGACAUGCGGCCCGGCGACGUGGUGUUCACCACCGCCGACUGGUGAGGGGGGAGGCGGUGAGGAGGGCAGGGAUGCGGGUUUUGCAUGCCUCAGUGGUUUGGAGGGAGGUUGUAGGGCAGGAGGUGGCGUGCAACACCGAUUCAGUGUUGUUGUGUGCGCGCCGUCCUGUAUCCCGCUGUCCCUGGUAGACCCCCGAGCCGGCAGCCCCUCCCAGCGGCCUCCCGCCUCUUUCCACUCCCAAGCGCUGCUUCUUCUAUUUGCGUCCUAGAGCCUCUCUGCGCGGGUAGCAAGCUCUCAAAUGCCCCUAACUUGCACCCAACCACCCACGGGUCACCCUCACCGCACACACACCGCGCCCUCGCCCCACACCCACACCCAUACCCACCGACCUCGCCCCCUCUCCUCCGCAGCGGCUGGAUCACGGGCCACUCCUACCUGGCCUACGGCCCGCUGCUGUGCGGCUGCAGCUCCGUGAUCAUGGGCGGCAUACCCACACACCCCGACGGCGGCCGCGCCUGGCGCAUGGUGGAGCGGUACAAGGUGGGUGGGAGACAGCGGCAGCGGGUGCACAGGGAUGGGCAUUGCAACUUGUGCUCUGCUUGCGUACCGGCAUUGUUUGGUUUUGGUGUACAUGCACCUCUUCUCGGCAAUCGCUACGCGUUUCGCGCCUCAGGUCCAGACCAAUCAGACUGACUUGUCUGACGUGUCGCCGCGCACUCUCAUCCCCUUCCCCCUCUAUCCCCUUCCCCCUCUCUCCUACCCACACUGCAGGUGCGCCAGUUCUACACGGCCCCCACGCUGCUUCGCUCGCUGCUGCAGCUGGGCGACGCCUGGCCGCGGCAGUCGGACCUGAGUUCGCUGCGCGUGCUGGCGUCGGCGGGCGAGCCCAUGAACGAGCACGCCUGGCACUGGUUCCACGAGGUGAGGGAGAGAGGUUAUGCGGAGGUGGAGGGGAGGAGCAGGAGGCGGAGUGUCUGUCGUGCAUCGCGGUUCAACCGGCUUACUCACAAUUACACGAACUGCUUGGGCUGCGGCAUCGAAUACUCAUCGCCUGGUGUCGCACUGCCUCCAACCUCCUCUCCCCGCUCGCCGCCCCGGCCUGCAGGUGGUUGGCAGCAGCCGCUGCCCGGUGGUGGACACGUGGUGGCAGACGGAGACGGGCAACGCCAUGCUCAUUCCGCUGCCCUGCAAAU
rnacentral:lncRNA from 1 species